UACGUAGGUGGCAAGCGUUAUCCGGAUUUAUUGGGUUUAAAGGGUGCGUAGGCGGCGAUUUAAGUCGGUGGUGAAAGGUAGCAGCUUAACUGUUUUACAUGCUGCCGAUACUGAAUUGCUUGAGUUACCAAGAGGCAAGUAGAAUUUCCGGUGUAGCGGUGAAAUGCAUAGAUACCGGAAGGAAUACCGAUUGCGAAGGCCACUUGCUAUAGGUAAACUGACGCUGAUGCACGAAAGCGUGGGGAGCGAACAGG
rnacentral:rRNA from 1 species